rnacentral:rRNA from 1 species
UACAGAGGUCCCAAGCGUUGUUCGGAUUUACUGGGCGUAAAGGGAGCGUAGGUGGUUAGGUAAGCCCUCCGUGAAAUCUCCAGGCUUAACCUGGAAAGUGCAGAGGGGACUGUUCAGCUAGAGGAUGGGAGAGGAGCGCGGAAUUCCCGGUGUAGCGGUGAAAUGCGUAGAGAUCGGGAGGAAGGCCGGUGGCGAAGGCGGCGCUCUGGAACAUUUCUGACGCUGAGGCUCGAAAGCGUGGGGAGCAAACAGG